CUUGGUUUGACUGAACUCACAGAAUAUUGAGUCAGAAUGAACAACUUUUCUUGCCCCAAAAGUGCAAAAGCUAGGAGAAGCAGUCAAACUGUACUUUCAACUCUGUGCUGUCAGUGAGAGCUGCGAACAUGAAGCAGUUGCCAUUCUCAGUGGUACAAUAAUCAAGUAGGAACUAGAGUUUCAGCACUCUCAGGCUCAUUCUGCAUUUGCGCUGCCACUUGAAAUACCAGAUUUGCUUGACAGAAGAAAAAAACAGCUGCAGUGUUGUCAGGAUCUCUAACUGCAAUCCUCUGGUGAUGAAAGAGACCCCAGAAAUUACGUAUAGUAUGCUGCAGUGAAAACAUAAAAAGCCUCAGUUUCCUACCUGCUGCACCCCAGUCAUUUUCUCUUCUUGACACAAGAUGGAGAAGAGGGGACAACCAGUAGUCAGAAAGGUUGUUGAAGGCUGUCUCUAGAAAAGCCAUAGCUAAAACAGAUUUGCUGACUUGGAGUUUAAGGACCUCAAGGAGACAUGUAUUGUGGAAGAAAAUGUUAGAAGGAGAAAAGGAAUGUUUUAAUCUCUUGUUGAAUUGUAAUUCUUACAAGAUUAAAGGAAAAUCUCUCCUUGGUUCUUUCCCGAUAAAUUGACAGGAA
rnacentral:lncRNA from 1 species